GAGGAGGGGGCAGGAAAGGGAAGGAAUGGGUUGGACAACAUUUCAAAAGGCAUCAAGUCUGUCUGCACCGUUUUGAAGGCGAGCAUUCAGAUAAUGGAGUAAGGAGAACGUAACAUUUCAAACUGAAAUCUGUGUGCUAUCCAGCGACAUUUGGAGUUCGUGGGUGUGUGUGUGUAGAGGGUCUGUGUUAAAGUUACACCGCAUUUGACCAGUGCUCCAUUUAUUCAAGCCGAUCACCACGGUCACAUUCUGACCGGCAAAAUCUUUCACCAGCCAAACAUCUCUCUUGUGAAAUGCGAAUUCUCCAUUAUACCCUGCACCAGAAGAUAUUCGGCAUCCACGAGGAAGGACGCACUGUUUGCGCAGGAAUCCUGAAAGCAGGUCCUGGCUCUGUGGGUAACGUUUCUCCAGCCACUCGCAGUGCUUUACCUGACCCAGCACCAUGAGUUAGAGCGAGCCGCCCAGGCUCUUCCGUGAGCUGAGUUGGAAGGAUCGCAGGAAGAGAAAGCCCUCCAUCACUCCAUGUUACGCAGCUGCCCCUACCUCCUUUGGCUGUGGACACUUUCAGAGUCCGGUGUACCUGGCCAAGGCUGACGAACGGUGGGUGUGUCAUGGAGCUCGAGCUGAUGCAGCCCCAGGAGGUGAGAUCCCAGAUGCAACGCUGCACUGACUCCUGCAAUUCCCUGGCUCCCGCCUGCCCUGAGUGGAGGAGGGACAGUCAGGGUGGGAUCGGGAAACCUUGAGGCUCUGAGUGAGCAGAGGGGAUGAAGCCACUCACUGACUAUCCCCAGCCGUCAACAUUGCCUCACCUGGGGAAGAGUAGAGGCUUGGAAAUUUGGUUUCAGCCCCCCCCGAGUUGAAAGUACCAGAGUGGGUCAUCGUCGUCUUUGAUCAAGGGGACAGCCCGAGAUCCAGUGCCGCCGGGCCUACAGGCCUUAAAGUGAGAAUGGAGGAAAUUGCAACUCUCCGUGGGCCAGGAUCGGAUUUUUCAGAGACUUGGAAGAUGAAAGAUGGUGCAAGAACUUGGCAACUCUCUGUGAACUGUUCCAGGAGAGGAUCUAUUGUACUCAUGUAUAGUAUGCCUUGACUGGAUAACAUGCAUAAAAGGCAUUACACUAUAUCUCUGUACACAUGACAAUAAAUAAAUUACAAACUAAGCAGGAUUCCAUCUGGCAACCAUAUGAUCAAUGAAGGUAGCCAGUGA